GAGUUUUUCCUCUCUCAGGAGCUCUGUGUUUCUGAUAAACCGCUGGAAAUUGACGGGUGUAGAAGUUGAGAGUCCGGUCUCAGCUCUGUCCGUCACUCUGACUUUGUCUCCUCCACUCCUGUCUCUCUGCGCCCUUCUCGGGCAGGAGUAGUGGAAGAGGAUUGGAGGAUGGGUUAUGUUAUGCAGUAACUUGGGAUCGGAGGAAAACCGAACACAGGAAACUACAGAUCGUGGUGAAGGGUCCAGGCCUGAAACGUCGGCUGUUUUCUCGCUGCCUGGCCUGCUGAGUUCCUCCGGCAUUGUGUGUAUCGCUGCAAGGAAAAGCCUGCGAGCUUCAGACUGGUGAGGCUCGUGUCUGGAAGGAGAGAUCCCGUGAUCCAGGGCAGUGGCUACAAUAUUGGCCUGGUGGUAGGAGACAAAGUCAUCGUUUCGACUGGAGACCUGUGAUCAAAAGUGUGACUCAGGGAUCGAGUCAAGUCUGCUGCGGCAAUUUAUUUAUUAAAGACUCGGCUGACAAUAUCAAUGCCCGGAUCUGCAAAUUUACCGAUGCCACUAAAGUUGGUGAUAUCGUGGAUUGUGGAAAAAAAUGUAACCAGCAAUACAACAGGACGGUGAUGAAUGAGUUUUCAUCAUACGUUAAUGCGGAAGAGUGAACAGUAAACGGUUAAUAUUACUGGGAUUGCCCCUCAUUGCCCGGUUUAUACUUGGUGUUUAGUUCAGAGUUUUUACACCUGUGCGAGAACACAACAGAGUCAGAAAGGAGAGUGCGAGGGAAAUCCGUGCCUUCACCCAGCUCAGGCUACCCUGCAUAGACUCGACGCUGCCUCGCCUGCGAAGUAUUUUCGGCAGUUUCAGCUUUUAGUUCAGGAACAAAGAAGGACUAUCCAGCUUUUCCAGCUUGCUCCGCCAGUCAGUCCGAACCUGCCUGGAUGUCUCGAAAUUUCAGUAUGGAUCCCCCUUCACCAUUCCUCUUCUCCUGUUCCCUCUCUUACCGUAUCUCCUUGCUUGCCCAUCGCCUCCCUCUGGUUCUCCUCCUCCCUUUGCUUUCUUUCAUGUCCAUCUGUCCACUCCUAUCAGACUCCCUCUUUUCUUUUGCCAAACAACUUCCCAACUGUUUGCUUCACCCCAGCCCCUGCCGGUUUCACCAAUCGCCUUGCUUCUCCUUUUCCUCUCUCCACCUUCUAAUUCUACCACUCAUCUUUUUUUGUCUCCUCCAGUCUUGCUGAAGGGUCUCGGCCCGAAUCCUCGACUGUUCUCUUUUCCAUUGAUGCUGCCUGGCCUGCUGAGUUCGUCAAGAACUUUGUGAGUGUUGAUCAGUGUCUUCUAUCUCACAUACGAAACCAGUGAAUCUGCUUCCUCAUAACAUCUCCUCAAAUCUUUGAUUAAGUAUGUAUUCAGAGAAAUGUUGUUAUAUAGCAAAAAUAAAACCCAAAUUGAUUAUUUGAAUAAAAACUAUCAACACAUACCAAAGCAAAUGGUAGAAAAUGUAUUUAAAAGUCCUUUUUUGAUUACAGAAAUGGAGCCUUUCCCUCCAAGAGGCAGUCUCUUGAUAUCAGUUGUUUCUAUUGUCUGGGAAUGAUUUCCCAACAUUAAAGUGAUGUUAUAUGAGAUGGUGAAUCUAGCUCUCUCACUCACUCACUCAGACACACACACACACACAAACACACAUACACACACACACACACACACACAAACACACAUACACACACACACACACACACACACACAAACACACACACACACACACACACACACACGAGUUAAAUGCAGAAAACGCUGUGGCUGGAAAACUGAAGGAGUAAAUAUGAGAAUACAGUGGGCAUAUUCAACGAAAGACAGGCCUCGAAAUAACCGAGAGGAAUUGGCUAAAUAUUAGUUGCAUUUGGACAUCAAUAAGUACACGAUGGCCAUAACCUCCUGGCAGCGUGUUCUGCCUUUGGACAGAAGGCGCUCUGGAAAGCAACAAUGUAAGAAACACUGGAAACAUUUUGAGGUCUUUAAGCUUUCAAUGAAUUGGAAUUAUAGGAAUGAAUUGGCAAACUCGGCUCAAGAAAUUUAAUGAAGGAAGUGAGAAGGGAAUCUAUGAGAAAACCCGAGUGAGAUCACAGUGCGGAUGCUGAGGGACGAGGGAGUAGCAGGGAGGGAAAGAUGAGGUAGGAAAUAUAAAGUCCUCAGUGUUAUCAUUUCAGGUUAUCUCUCCUGGGCCCAACACAUACCUCCUAUUACAAAGAAGGCACCGCAGCGCUCUACAUGUCAUCUAAAAUUUUGACAGACUUCAAUAGAUGUGUAGGUGGAGAGUCAUUGACUGAAGGCAUGAGGACCUGGCAUGGAACCACCAGUGCCUUUCUACGGGAAAACUCACAGAAAUUAAUGAAUGGACCCCGUCCUACACAAGUAAAGGCCUCCCCACCGCUGAGCACAUAUAAACGGAAUACAGGGCCCCGACCCUGGAGGUCAUGCUCUCUUCCCACAGCCCCUCUCAAAACUGCUGAUUUCAUGUUAUUGGUUAUUGAUUUAUUAUUAGUAUUUUGUUUGUUCUUUCUUGUUUACUCAGUGUCGUUUGAUUACUCAUUUGUUGUUUUUGUUGAGUGCGGUCUUUCAAAGAUUCUGUUGUGUUUCGUUGUAUUUACUGUGGAUUUUCAUGUGGUUAUGUGUAUAUACUUCGGUAAUAAAUAUAGAUUAAUCUUUCAAGUUUGAACUUUAGGGAGAGGAAUCCAUUGGGCGAGACGUGGAUGUUGUUUCACACCGUUGUGUAGGAGACGAAAAAUUUGAGGCCCGCAGCUUUAUUAUCUGGGACAGGUUUGUGGAAGAAGACGGCACCAAACGGAAAGCUUAUGUAUUGACAUACAAGAAAAGAAUCCGUGGAAUUCAUUGCUGACGAAGCCAAGACAUUUGGUAUAUUAAAAGCGGAUGGCUCUAUAGGUAAAGUAAUUAGAUAUAUUUAAAGCGGACGUAAGUAAGUUAUUAAAUAUUAAGAGUGACACACUUUAUGGGAAGACGGCAGGAGAACAGGAUUAGGAGGGAUAAUAAAUCAGCCACGAUGUAAUGGAGGAUCUGACUCCAGGGGCCGAAUGACAUAAUACUGUUCCUAUGUCUGAUGAUAGAAUGGGGGAACAGACUCCAUUGGCCGAAUGACAUAAUAUUAUUCCUAUGUCUGAUGAUGAUCACCCGACGGAGAAUCUCACCAGGUCCCUCAACACCAGCUCCAUAGCAAAGAAAG